rnacentral:rRNA from 1 species
GACGAACGCUGGCGGCGUGCUUAACACAUGCAAGUCGAACGGAAAGGCCCUGCUUUUGUGGGGUGCUCGAGUGGCGAACGGGUGAGUAACACGUGAGUAACCUGCCCUUGACUUUGGGAUAACUUCAGGAAACUGGGGCUAAUACCGGAUAGGAGCUCCUGCUGCAUGGUGGGGGUUGGAAAGUUUCGGCGGUUGGGGAUGGACUCGCGGCUUAUCAGCUUGUUGGUGGGGUAGUGGCUUACCAAGGCUUUGACGGGUAGCCGGCCUGAGAGGGUGACCGGCCACAUUGGGACUGAGAUACGGCCCAGACUCCUACGGGAGACAGCAGUGGGGAAUAUUGCACAAUGAGCGGAAGCCUGAUGCAGCAACGCCGCGUGCGGGAUGACGGCCUUCGGGUUGUAAACCGCUUUCGCCUGUGACGAAGCGUGAGUGACGGUAAUGGGUAAAGAAGCACCGGCUAACUACGUG